rnacentral:rRNA from 1 species
GGUGGAGCCGACGGACCAGACUUGCAGUAGGUGAGUGAUGGGGUGACGCAGGAAGGUAGUCCAUCCCGGGCGGUGGUUGUCCCGGGGUAAGGGUGUAGGACGUCAGGUAGGUAAAUCCGCCUGGCAAUAGUCUGAGACCUGAUGCCGAGCCGAUUGUGGUGAAGUGGAUGAUCCUAUGCUGUCGAGAAAAGCCUCUAGCGAGUUUCAUGGCGGCCCGUACCCUAAACCGACUCAGGUGGUCUGGUAGAGAAUACCGAGGCGUUCGGGUGAACUAUGGUUAAGGAACUCGGCAAAAUGCCCCCGUAACUUCGGGAGAAGGGGGGCCAUCACUGGUGAUCCGAUUUACUCGGUGAGCUGGGGGUGGCCGCAGAGACCAGCGAGAAGCGACUGUUUACUAAAAACACAGGUCCGUGCGAAGCCGUAAGGCGAUGUAUACGGACUGACGCCUGCCCGGUGCUGGAACGUUAAGGGGACCGGUUAGUCACUCUUCGGGGUGGCGAAGCUGAGAACUUAAGCGCCAGUAAACGGCGGUGGUAACUAUAACCAUCCUAAGGUAGCGAAAUUCCUUGUCGGGUAAGUUCCGACCUGCACGAAUGGCGUAACGACUUCUCGACUGUCUCAACCAUAGGCCCGGUGAAAUUGCACUACGAGUAAAGAUGCUCGUUUCGCGCAGCAGGACGGAAAGACCCCGGGACCUUUACUACAGUUUGAUAUUGGUGUUCGGUUCGGCUUGUGUAGGAUAGCUGGGAGACUGUGAAGCUCGGACGCCAGUUCGGGUGGAGUCGUCGUUGAAAUACCAGUCUGGUCGUGCUGGAUGUCUAACCCGGGUCCGUGAUCCGGAUCGGGGACAGUGUCUGAUGGGUAGUUUAACUGGGGCGGUUGCCUCCCAAAG